GGGGGGGGGGGGGGGGGGGGGGGGGGGGGGGAGGGCGGGGGGGGGGGGGGGGCUUGCGCCUGGGGUCAGCGGCGGGCGGGGGGGGAAUGCCUAGGAAGCGGCCUUUGCGUGGGGGAUAACGCCCGGAAAGGGGCGCUAAUGCCGCAGACGUCCUGAGUGAGAGCGGGGGGGAUCUUCGGACCUCACGCUAUCCGAUGAGCCUCGGUCGGAUUAGGGAGUUGGUGGGGUAAAGGCCUACCAAGGCGACGAUCCGUAACUGGUCGCAGAGGAUGAACAGGCACAAUGGAACUGAGACACGGUCCAGACUCCUACGGGAGGCAGCAGUGGGGAAUAUUGGACAAUGGGCGAAAGACUGAUCCAGCCAUGCCGCGUGUGUGAAGAAGGUCUUCGGAUUGUAAAGCACUUUAAGUUGGGAGGAAGGGCAGUAAGUUAAUACCUUGCUGUUUUGACGUUACCAACAGAAUAAGCACCGGCUAACUUCGUG
rnacentral:rRNA from 1 species